CCUACGGGCGGCAGCAGUGAGGAAUAUUGGUCAAUGGGCGCGAGCCUGAACCAGCCAAGUCGCGUGAGGGAAGACGGUCCUAUGGAUUGUAAACCUCUUUUGUCGGGGAGCAAAAGACGCCACGCGUGGCGUUCCGAGAGUACCCGAAGAAAAAGCAUCCGCUAACUCCGUGCCAGCAGCCGCGGUAAUACGGAGGAUGCGAGCGUUAUCCGGAUUUAUUGGGUUUAAAGGGUGCGCAGGCGGAAGAUCAAGUCAGCGGUAAAAUUGAGAGGCUCAACCUCUUCGAGCCGUUGAAACUGGUUUUCUGGAGUGAGCGAGAAGUAUGCGGAAUGCGGGGUGUAGCGGUGAAAUGCAUAGAUAGCACGCAGAACUCCGAUUGCGAAGGCAGCAUACCGGCGCUCAACUGACGCUCAUGCACGAAAGUGGGGGUAUCGAACAGGAUUAGAUACCCUUGUAGUC
rnacentral:rRNA from 1 species